GUGGGGAAUCUUGCGCAAUGGGCGAAAGCCUGACGCAGCCAUGCCGCGUGAAUGAUGAAGGUCUUAGGAUUGUAAAAUUCUUUCACCGGGGACGAUAAUGACGGUACCCGGAGAAGAAGCUCCGGCUAACUUCGUGCCAGCAGCCGCGGUAAUACGAAGGGGGCUAGCGUUGCUCGGAAUUACUGGGCGUAAAGGGCGCGUAGGCGGACAGCUUAGUCAGAGGUGAAAGCCCAGGGCUCAACCUUGGAAUUGCCUUUGAUACUGGCUGUCUUGAGUUUGGGAGAGGUGAGUGGAACUACGAGUGUAGAGGUGAAAUUCGUAGAUAUUCGGAAGAACACCAGUGGCGAAGGCGACUCACUGGCCCAAUACUGACGCUGAGGCGCGAAAGCGUGGGGAGCAAACAGGAUUAGAUACCCGUGUAGUCC
rnacentral:rRNA from 1 species